rfam:Nicotiana attenuata strain TT chromosome 5, whole genome shotgun sequence.
GUUAGGAUGAUGAAGAAAUCAUUCAGAUUCCCACUAAUGUACCUACUGUGAUUACUACAACCAGCUACUUCUGACUUCC